AACUACAUUAUAGUAAAAAUGCUGUAAAAGAAUAUCUGGGCCAGGUGCAGUGGCUCACGACUGUAAUCCCAGCACUUUGGGAGGCCAAGGUGGGCAGAUCACGAGGUCAAGAGAUUGAGACCAUGCUGGCUAACAUGGCGAAACCCCAUCUCUAUAAAAAAAAAAAAAAAAUCCUCAAUUUUUUUAUUAAAAUGACUUUGAAAACCUGAGAGUUUUCAGAGAAAAAAAUAAAAAUUAACUUGUGAUUAUUUUAUUUCAUAAUUUUCAUUUUCUUUUGUUCUUAAAAAUAAUAACUAUCCAGAGCUAAAUCAAAUUGUACUUCAUGGCAGGGGGCAGCUGCCAGAAAUAAAAUAUUGAGGCCAGGCGUGGUGGCUCACGCCUGUAAUCCCUACACUCUGGGAGGCUGAGGCAAGUGGAUCAGCUAAGGUUAGGUGUUCGAGACCAUCCUGGCCCAAAUGGUGAAACCCUGUCUCUACUAAAAAUACAAAAAUUAGUCGGGUGUGGUGGUGUGUGCCUGUAGUCUCAGCUACUCAGGAGGCUGAGGCAGGAGGAUCGCUUGAACCCAGGACGCGGAGGUUGUAGUGAGCCAAGAUUGUGCCACUGCACUCCAGCCUGAGUGACAAAGCGAGACUCUGUCUCCAAAAAAAAAAAGAAAUAUAAUAUUGGCAUGUAGGUCAGUAUUUUUAUUUGCCCUUAGUCCAACUUCCUUGAUUUAGGCUUUGCUGGUCCUGUGGAUCAGAGCUGACUUUCAUGGCAGCACACAUUUCCCCGUGGGGCUAGAAUGAGGAAAUCAUUUUUACUGACUUUUUCGUUUUACAGAUGAUGAGAUUUAAAUUAUAAAUUAACUGUCCAAGGUCACACAGCUAAUUGGUGGCAAAGCUAGGAUAGAGCCCCGCCCUUUGUUCUUCCCAGUCACCACCACAUUUGCCAUGCUGGUGGGAAGGCAGCAAGCAGCCUGAUUCUGCUGCUGGAUUCUAUCCUUUCAGUAGGGCAGUCAUUGAAAUGGCCCAGUCCCUUGCAUUGCUUUCCCUUCUCCUUUGGCCGAUGACUAAUGGGUUGACUCUGUAACGUGUCCUCUCCGGGCCUGUUGACGUCAUUCUCUUUCUCAGAGAGCUUUCUGCUUGGGUAUCUCCUUUACAAGAGGAAUUCCUGUUUGAGUGUGCACUCUGGGAUGCUUCUGUGAUAAGUCUCCCUAUUUAUUGUUUAGUCAACUGAAGUCCUUGCCCUAAAUGUCAUAUGUUGCAAACUAGCCAAGUUCUCAGAGGAAAAAGAGAAAAAAGUGUUUUAUCUGUGAGAUUAUCCAGACUGAACUAUGGAGCUCACUGCUCCCUGGUUUGCAUGGGAUCUGAACCCUCUUCCACCAGGAGGCACAUUUAGCCCUUUGAAACAUUAAGUAUGUACAGAUGAUCACAGUGAGAAGGAAAGCAAAAAGCUCUGGAGUCCUCAGCUUUGCUGUCUCACAGGUGUCAUCCCCAUUCACAGUCUGGCUGGGAAUGGCAUGGCACUAAGCAUUGCAGGAAGGGAGGUGGUAAGGAGAAGGAUGAGACC
rnacentral:lncRNA from 1 species